CCUACGGGUGGCUGCAGUGAGGAAUAUUGGUCAAUGGGAGAGAUCCUGAACCAGCCAAGCCGCGUGAGGGAAGACGGCCCUAUGGGUUGUAAACCUCUUUUGUCGGAGAACAAAACCCGGGACGUGUCCCGGACUGCGUGUAUCCGAAGAAAAAGCAUCGGCUAACUCCGUGCCAGCAGCCGCGGUAAUACGGAGGAUGCGAGCGUUAUCCGGAUUUAUUGGGUUUAAAGGGUGCGUAGGCGGACAGUCAAGUCAGCGGUAAAAAUGCGGUGCUCAACGCCGUACAGCCGUUGAAACUGGCAGUCUUGAGUGGGCGAGAAGUAUGCGGAAUGCGUGGUGUAGCGGUGAAAUGCAUAGAUAUCACGCAGAACUCCGAUUGCGAAGGCAGCAUACCGGCGCCCGACUGACGCUGAGGCACGAAAGCGUGGGUAUCGAACAGGAUUAGAUACCCCUGUAGUC
rnacentral:rRNA from 1 species